UAACAAGGUGUGCUUUGUGACAUGGUGU
rnacentral:piRNA from 1 species